UACGAAGGUCCCGAGCGUUAUCCGGAUUUAUUGGGGUUAAAGGGUGCGUAGGCGGGUUAUUAAGUCCGUGGUGAAAGCCUACAGCUUAACUGUAGAAUUGCCAUUGAUACUGAUGAUCUUGAGUAUGAUUGAGGUGGGCGGAAUGUGUCAUGUAGCGGUGAAAUGCUUAGACAUGACACAGAACACCGAUUGCGAAGGCAGCUCACUAAGUCAUAACUGACGCUGAUGCACGAAAGCGUGGGGAGCAAACAGG
rnacentral:rRNA from 1 species